AGGGUGCAGGGCGGAUGCCUUGGCACUAGGAGCCGAUGAAGGACGUGAUAAGCUGCGAUAAGCUUCGGGGAGUUGCACGUAAACUUUGAUCCGAAGAUUUCCGAAUGAGGAAACUCACUUAGAGUAAUGUCUAAGUAUCAUUAAGUGAAUACAUAGCUUAAUGAGGGGAACUCAGGGAACUGAAACAUCUAAGUACCUGAAGGAAGAGAAAGAAAUUCGAUUCCGUAAGUAGCGGCGAGCGAACGCGGAUUAGCCCAAACCAAUAAAGUUUUCUUUAUUGGGGUUGCGGACAUAUCAUAACGAAGAGGUAUCGUAAUUGAAGAGGUUUGGAAAGACCCACCACAGAAGGUAAUAGUCCUGUAUGUUAAACGAGAAGACUUUAGAUAUGAUCCAGAGUACCACGGGACACGUGAAACCCUGUGGGAAGCAGGAGGGACCACCCUCCAAGGCUAAAUACUACCUAGUGACCGAUAGCGUAUAGUACCGUGAGGGAAAGGUGAAAAGAACCCCGGGAGGGGAGUGAAAUAGAACCUGAAACCCUGCACUUACAAGCUGUGGGAGCACAUUACUUGUGUGACCGCGUACUUUUUGUAGAACGGGCCAACGAGUUACGUUAAGUAGCAAGGUUAAGCACUUAAGGUGCGGAGCCGUAGCGAAAGCGAGUUUUAACUGAGCGUUCAGUUACUUGACGUAGACCCGAAACCGGGCGACCUACCCAUGAGCAGGAUGAAGCGAAAGUAAAAUUUCGUGGAGGACCGAACCCACGAGCGUUGAAAAGCUCGGGGAUGACUUGUGGAUAGCGGUGAAAUUCCAAUCGAGCCCGGAGAUAGCUGGUUCUCCCCGAAAUAGCUUUAGGGCUAGCCUCAAGGUGAGAGAUACGGAGGUAGAGCACUGAAUGUCCUAGGGGGUAUUGCACCUACCGAAGACUAUCAAACUCCGAAUGCCGUCAUCUUAUACUUGGGAGUCAGACUGUGGGUGAUAAGAUUCAUAGUCGAAAGGGCAACAGCCCAGAUCGUCAGCUAAGGUCCCUAAAUGUAAGUUAAGUGGUAAAGGAUGUGGGAUUGCACAGACAACCAGGAUGUUGGCUUAGAAGCAGCCACUCAUUCAAAGAGUGCGUAAUAGCUCACUGGUCGAGUGAUCCUGCGCCGAAGAUUUCCGGGGCUAAAACUUACUACCGAAGCUACGGCAUCAGUAAUGAUGGGUAGGGGAGCUUCCCAUACGGGUUGAAGCAUGACCGUAAGGACAUGUGGACAGUAUGGGAGUGAGAAUGUUGGCAUGAGUAGCGAGAUGUGGGUGAGAAUCCCACAGGCCGUAAACCCAAGGUUUCCAGGGGAAGGUUCGUCCGCCCUGGGUUAGUCGGGACCUAAGCCGAGGCCGAAAGGCGUAGGUGAUGGACAACAGGUUGAUAUUCCUGUACUACCGAUAACCGUUUGAGAGAAGGGAUGACACAGUAGGAUAAGCUAAGCACACUGUUGGUUAUGUGUGCCCAAGCAUUGAGGCAGUCAAAGUAGGCAAAUCCGCUUUGAUAAUGCUGGGAUGUGAUGGGGAGCGAAAUUUAGUAGCGAAGUAGCUGAUUUCACACUGUCAAGAAAAGUCUCUAUCGAGGUUAAAGGUACCCGUACCGCAAACCGACACAGGUGGGUGAGGAGAGUAUCCUAAGGCCAGCGAGAGAACUGUUGUUAAGGAACUCGGCAAAAUGACCCCGUAACUUAGGGAUAAGGGGUGCCACCAUCAGGUGGCCGCAGAGAAUAGGCCCAAGCGACUGUUUACCAAAAACAUAGGUUUCUGCUAAGUCGCAAGACGAUGUAUAGGAGCUGACGCCUGCCCGGUGCUGGAAGGUUAAGGGGAUCUGUUAGAGCAAUCGAAGCAGUGAACUUAAGCCCCAGUAAACGGCGGCCGUAACUAUAACGGUCCUAAGGUAGCGAAAUUCCUUGUCGGGUAAGUUCCGACCCGCACGAAAGGCGUAACGAUUUGGGCACUGUCUCAACAACAGACUCGGUGAAAUUGUAAUUCCGGUGAAGAUGCCGGAUACCUGCGACAGGACGGAAAGACCCCAUGGAGCUUUACUGUAGCUUGACAUUGGGUCUUGGUACUACAUGUACAGGAUAGGUGGGAGGCUUUGAAACCAGGACGCCAGUUUUGGCGGAGCCAUCCUUGGGAUACCACCCUUGUAGUACUGGGACUCUAACCAUAGGCCAUGAAUCUGGUCUUGGGACACUGUCAGGUGGGCAGUUUGACUGGGGCGGUCGCCUCCCAAAAGGUAACGGAGGCGCUCAAAGGUUCUCUCAGUACGGUCGGAAAUCGUACGUAGAGUGUAAAGGCAAAAGAGAGCUUGAUUGCAAGACAUACAGGUCGAGCAAGGAUGAAAAUCGGACUUAGUGAUCCGGUGGUUCUGCGUGGAAGGGCCAUCGCUCAACGGAUAAAAGCUACCCUGGGGAUAACAGGCUUAUCUCCCCCAAGAGUCCACAUCGACGGGGAGGUUUGGCACC
rnacentral:rRNA from 1 species